GAUGAACGCUGGCGGCGUGCCUAAUACAUGCAAGUCGAGCGAACAGACGAGGAGCUUUCUCCUUUGACGUUAGCGGCGGACGGGUGAGUAACACGUGGAUAACCUACCUAUAAGACUGGGAUAACUUCGGGAAACCGGAGCUAAUACCGGAUAACAUGUUGAACCGCAUGGUUCAACAGUGAAAGACGGUCUUGCUGUCACUUAUAGAUGGAUCCGCGCCGCAUUAGCUAGUUGGUAAGGUAACGGCUUACCAAGGCAACGAUGCGUAGCCGACCUGAGAGGGUGAUCGGCCACACUGGAACUGAGACACGGUCCAGACUCCUACGGGAGGCAGCAGUAGGGAAUCUUCCGCAAUGGGCGAAAGCCUGACGGAGCAACGCCGCGUGAGUGAAGAAGGUCUUCGGAUCGUAAAACUCUGUUAUUAGGGAAGAACAAAUGUGUAAGUAACUAUGCACGUCUUGACGGUACCUAAUCAGAAAGCCACGGCUAACUACGUG
rnacentral:rRNA from 1 species